GCCAGAUUGACCAAGUGGUUGAGGUGUUGGACUAAAGUUCCAAUGGGUGUGAGCCUGGGUGGGUUUAAAUCCCACUUCUGGUA
rnacentral:tRNA from 1 species